GUGGUGAAGCUCAGGCUCUUCCUGGCGCCCUGGUCUCCUGCACGGAGCUGCGUGAGCUCUUCUACCCAGGCGGGCCCCUGCCCUUGAGCGGCAUAGAUGGUGACCCCAGAGGAAGACUUGCGUUGGGCCCACUGGCUCUGGGCUCAGCCCCUGGUGAGCUGAAGCUCAGGCCCUUCCUGGCACCCUGGUCUGCUGCACUGAGCUGCGUGAGCUCUUCCACCCAGGUGCAACCCCCUGGCAUUGACCAGCAUAGGUAUUGAGCCUGGAGGAAGACUUGAAUUGGUCCCAAUGGUCCCAGGCCAGCAUCCAUCAGCUAGGUGCUGAGCCCCUGGUGCACUGAAGAUUGGGCACUUCCUGGCACCCUGGUGUGCUGCACCGAGCUGUGAUGAGCACAUCCGGGUCCUGCUGGAUGCAUGCGCCGGGAAGGACGUGCCCUGAGUUGGGUCGAUGAUGAGAACCUUAUAUUAUCCUGAAGAGAGGUGAUGACUUAAAAAUCAUGCUCAAUAGGAUUACGCUGAGGCCCAGUCUAGGUGAGAGUUUUGGAAGAGGAUGCUGGGAUCCUGAGGUCCCCUGGUAGAGCCAAUUGUAUUUUGGGCUGGAGACCUGGAAG
ensembl:lncRNA SNHG14 small nucleolar RNA host gene 14